GAUGAACGCUGUCUACAGGCUUAACACAUGCAAGUCGAGGGGAAACGACGGGGAAGCUUGCUUCCCCGGGCGUCGACCGGCGCACGGGUGAGUAACGCGUAUCCAACCUGCCUCUGACUGAGGGAUAACCCGUCGAAAGUCGGCCUAAUACCUCAUGGCAUCGUCUGCGGGCAUCCAACGACGAUUAAAGAUUUCAUCGGUCAGGGAUGGGGAUGCGUCUGAUUAGCUUGUUGGCGGGGUAACGGCCCACCAAGGCUACGAUCAGUAGGGGUUCUGAGAGGAAGGUCCCCCACAUUGGAACUGAGACACGGUCCAAACUCCUACGGGAGGCAGCAGUGAGGAAUAUUGGUCAAUGGGCGGGAGCCUGAACCAGCCAAGUAGCGUGCAGGAGGACGGCCCUAUGGGUUGUAAACUGCUUUUAUGCGGGGAUAAAGUGAGGGACGUGUCCUUCAUUGCAGGUACCGCAUGAAUAAGGACCGGCUAAUUCCGUG
rnacentral:rRNA from 1 species